GGCCCCUGGGGUUCGUUAAGGAGCCAUCUGUCCUGUUUGGUAUAAGAUUAAGAAUUCCUCCUGUCUGGUGUCUCAAGUCUUGAUUAGAUUCUGGAUUAUAUCUGACAGAGAACAUAAAGUUCAGAACAAAGAUUAUGUUUUUUUUUCUCAAUCAGGGUUCAAAGAGAAUCCUCACUGUUUAUUCAACAUUUUUAGGAUUCUUGUAUAGUUUCUUCAUAAAAUACAGUCUGAUAUCACUGUUUUUUCCCCCCACAUAUGGAUAUGCGUAUUGCACAACAUCUUAUGGAUGAACAACAUUUGUAAAGCAGGCCUACAUCUAAUGCAACUUUAUCUUCUGUAACAAAGCGGCUGAAGAGGAUUAUGCUGCUGUUGCCACAGAAACUUAGUGACCAGUGGAAAGAGAGAGUAGAGAGGGGUGGGGAGUCUAUGAAGAGAGAGAUUCAAACAGACGUACAAGGACAGCCCUUCACCCACACAGCAGACAGGCGUUUUUGAGGUGACACAGAUUUCAAAAAGAGUACACCCAGUCUGCCACGAUGCUGCACCCUUUGAUAAUCGGCAUUGUGACCGUGAACACCUCUCUAACUGUCAUCUACUGGACCUUCCUCCUGGGCGAUGUGUACUUCAAGUGGCUGUCGGAGCCAGAAGACAAACCCAAGAAGGUGGUCACCCCAGCCUGAGGGAGUCACAGUCAAUAUGGACCUGACUGAAUAACUGGCUGUUGUGUUUACUUAGGAGUAGUCAGCAAGUUCAGCUUGUAGUGCUUUCUUUUGAGUCUGAUUUUUGCAAAUUGACCUGCUGCUUUCUGUUUCACCUUGAGAUUUUUUGGAAAACCCUUUUUGUACAUUUUUUUACUGAACGGAGAGGAUCCUGCGAAGUGACGUAGAGAAGAAUCAUUCUUACAGAACGGUUUGUGUACAACACACACUAAUUUGGAAGUCCAUUCAUUCAUAGAAAACAUCUGAGCAGACUAUCAAAUCUUGAUUGCAAGACUGGAUUCUUGGCCCCAAACCGAUGGAGGAUGAUUCUGAGGAGGGGAGAGCAGAAAUAGAGGAAGAGCGGCGACUGAGCGUUUCCAGCAGAGUGAUGGUGAGCGACAGGCUGAGGAUGGAGAAGGAGAAGGACGGGCUGCUGCCCGGCUUCCACCCGGGAGACGGAGGCUGCCGUCGUCCAUCCACCCCUCCUCCGCUGAGAAGCGCCAUCUCUUCCUACUCCGGAGAAAAAAGGAUAUCUACUCAUAGUGUGACCUUCGCCUGCCCUGCCACCCCUUAUGUCACUUCCCUUUGAGUUUUCACAACAUCAAAAGUUCUCUGAGUUGAUGUCAAUCUUGUCACGCUUGUAGUUCAGAUCAAUUUUUUCUCUCAUUUCACUGCAGUGAUAAAUGUUGUCUUUUUGCUAUAGUGAUGCUUAAACUGUGGUUUUUUUGUUCUAUAUAAAAACACUUCAAAUACCGGUCAACGCAUAUAGUUUGUACUGAUUUUACUAGACUGUCUUCAUUACCUACUAAACAUUUAGUGUAAGCAUGUUCCAUAUUGUCAGUCAUUCAACAUACAUUGUACUAUGGUAAUAUAUUAUUUCCCGUUCCAACAAUUAUCAAGUCAACCUCAAAGAUGUUAUCUCAUCCAUAAACAUCACAGUGUAUCAGUAAAAAUGACACUGGCAUUGUCACAGUAAUUAUAAGUGAAAUGUUAAUGUGAAUAGUAAAAAAUGUAUUUUUUAACUGACAUUUGAAUGUAAAAAUUGUUUUAAAACAACUUUAAAACAUGUUCAGAUUAAAAGAAUUGUCAAAUCCUUCCAUCAAAAUAUCAAAAACAUUUUGUUUAAAAUGCCAUUUCAGUGCAUUUUCCUCAUGUACCAUCAUUGUAAAGUUACAUCAUCACAUGUUGCUGUAUGUCAGUUUUCCUGUGCUGGUGUUGGACUAAGCUUCUCUCCAGUAAACAACUGAAUAA